GCAGAACGUAGCUCAAGAAGAGCGUUGGUCUUGUAAAUCAAAGGUUGGAUUUAAAUCUAUCUCGUCUGCU
rnacentral:tRNA from 1 species